rnacentral:rRNA from 1 species
UAGAUGCGAGAGUAGAGCAUAUCAAUAAGCGGAGGAAAAGAAACUAACAAGGAUUCCCUUAGUAACGGCGAGUGAAGCGGGAAGAGCUCAAAUUUGAAAUCUUCAAGGUUCUACCUUGACGAAUUGUAGUUUAAAGAAGUGUUUUCUGUUAGAUGAGUAGCAAAAGUUCCUUGGAAUGGGACAUCAUAGAGGGUGAGAAUCCCGUAUUUGGUUAUUCAUUCUAGCUUUGUGAUACACUUUCAAAGAGUCGGAUUGUUUGGGAAUGCAGUCCAAAAUGGGUGGUAAAUUUCAUCUAAAGCUAAAUAUUGGCGAGAGACCGAUAGCGAACAAGUACCGUGAGGGAAAGAUGAAAAGAACUUUGAAAAGAGAGUUAAACAGUACGUGAAAUUGUCAAAAGGGAAGCGUUUGACACCAGUGUUGUUUUUCCGAAAAUCAAUUACGAAUGGCUUGAUUUUGUGUUGUAUUGACCUUAUCAGCUUUCUGCACUUUUUUUCGAGUCUUUCUUAAUGCACUUUUCGGUUAACAAGUCAACAUCAAUUUCUUUUGUUGUAAAAGAGUAUUCGGAAGGUGGCUUUCUUUUCGGAGAAAGUGUUUAUAGCCCUAUACUUCUACAAUCGGAGAGAUUGAGGUCUGCAGCGUAGAUCCUUCGGGGUUAGAUACAUUUGUGCUAAGUUGUAGCUUUUCAUAGACAACUUGUUGACUAUGUUUAGUCAUGCGGCUUACUCGCUUAUGCUAUUUUACCUACGCUUAGGAUGUUGAGCGCAUGUCUCUCUCU